AUUUUUAUUCACUCUUCAGUCUAUGAUGUUUUUCACCUUUGUUGCUGUUUGGGUGAGCAGGUUCCUGUCUUCCAUCCAAACACCCUUGUGGUGAAAUAUU